rnacentral:tRNA from 1 species
GCCUGGGUGGCUCAGUCGGUUGAGUGUCUGACUUCAGCUCAGGUCAUGAUCUCAUGGUUUGUGAGUUUGAGCCUCACAUCAGGCU